GAUCCUGGCUCAGAUUGAACGCUGGCGGCAGGCCUAACACAUGCAAGUCGAACGGUAACAGGAAGCAGCUUGCUGCUUUGCUGACGAGUGGCGGACGGGUGAGUAAUGUCUGGGAAACUGCCUGAUGGAGGGGGAUAACUACUGGAAAUGGUAAGCUAAUACCGCAUAACGUCGCAAGACCAAAAGAGGGGGGACCUUCGGGCCUCUUGCCAUCGGAUGUUAGGCCCUAGAUGGGAUUAGCUAG
rnacentral:rRNA from 1 species